CAGCCGCCACGGGAAUACGGAGGGUGCGAGCGUUAAUCGGAAUAACUGGGCGUAAAGCGCACGCAGGCGGUUUGUUAAGUCAGAUGUGAAAUCCCCGAGCUUAACUUGGGAACUGCAUUUGAAACUGGCAAGCUAGAGUCUUGUAGAGGGGGGUAGAAUUCCAGGUGUAGCGGUGAAAUGCGUAGAGAUCUGGAGGGAUACCGGUGGCGAAGGCGGCCCCCUGGACAAAGACUGACGCUCAGGUGCGAAAGCGUGGGGAGCAAACAGGAUUAGAUACCCCAGUAGUCCCUGUCUCUUAUAC
rnacentral:rRNA from 1 species